rnacentral:rRNA from 1 species
GAUGAACGCUGGCGGCGUGCCUAAUACAUGCAAGUCGAGCGAACAGACGAGGAGCUUGCUCCUCUGACGUUAGCGGCGGACGGGUGAGUAACACGUGGAUAACCUACCUAUAAGACUGGGAUAACUUCGGGAAACCGGAGCUAAUACCGUAUAAUAUAUUGAACCGCAUGGUUCAAUAGUGAAAUACGGUUUUGCUGUCACUUAUAGAUGGAUCCGCGCCGCAUUAGCUAGUUGGUAAGGUAACGGCUUACCAAGGCAACGAUGCGUAGCCGACCUGAGAGGGUGAUCGGCCACACUGGAACUGAGACACGGUCCAGACUCCUACGGGAGGCAGCAGUAGGGAAUCUUCCGCAAUGGGCGCAAGCCUGACGGAGCAACGCCGCGUGAGUGAUGAAGGUCUUCGGAUCGUAAAACUCUGUUAUUAGGGAAGAACAAAUGUGUAAGUAACUAUGCAGGUCUUGACGGUACCUAAUCAGAAAGCCACGGCUAACUACGUG